rnacentral:rRNA from 1 species
UACAGAGGUCUCAAGCGUUGUUCGGAUUCAUUGGGCGUAAAGUGUGCGUAGGCGGCGCGGUAAGUCGGGUGUGAAAUCUCGGAGCUUAACUCCGAAACUGCAUUCGAUACUGCCGUGCUUGAGGACUGGAGAGGAGACUGGAAUUUACGGUGUAGCGGUGAAAUGCGUAGAUAUCGUAAGGAAGACCAGUGGCGAAGGCGGGUCUCUGGACAGUUCCUGACGCUGAGGCACGAAGGCCAGGGGAGCAAACGGG